UGGGGAAUUUUGGACAAUGGGGGAAACCCUGAUCCAGCCAUCCCGCGUGUGCGAUGAAGGCCUUCGGGUUGUAAAGCACUUUUGGCAGGAAAGAAACGUCAUGGGUUAAUACCCCGUGAAACUGACGGUACCUGCAGAAUAAGCACCGGCUAACUACGUGCCAGCAGCCGCGGUAAUACGUAGGGUGCAAGCGUUAAUCGGAAUUACUGGGCGUAAAGCGUGCGCAGGCGGUUCGGAAAGAAAGAUGUGAAAUCCCAGAGCUCAACUUUGGAACUGCAUUUUUAACUACCGGGCUAGAGUGUGUCAGAGGGAGGUGGAAUUCCGCGUGUAGCAGUGAAAUGCGUCGAUAUGCGGAGGAACACCGAUGGCGAAGGCAGCCUCCUGGGAUAACACUGACGCUCAUGCACGAAAGCGUGGGGAGCAAACAGG
rnacentral:rRNA from 1 species